ACGUAGGGUGCGAGCGUUAAUCGGAAUUACUGGGCGUAAAGCGUGCGCAGGCGGUUUUGUAAGUCUGUCGUGAAAUCCCCGGGCUUAACCUGGGAAUGGCGAUGGAGACUGCAAGGCUGGAAUCUGGCAGAGGGGGGUAGAAUUCCACGUGUAGCAGUGAAAUGCGUAGAGAUGUGGAGGAACACCGAUGGCGAAGGCAGCCCCCUGGGCUAAGAUUGACGCUCAUGCACGAAAGCGUGGGGAGCAAACAGGA
rnacentral:rRNA from 1 species